GCCUCCUUAGGAGGGAAAACAAUUGGAAAUUUGCUAAUAUCCCAUAAGCUGAAAAGUAAAAUAUUUUUUGCCUAAAGAUGAGCUUGCGCCUGAUUAGCUGGUUGGUGAGGUAAUGGCUUACCAAGGCCACGAUCAGUAGCUGGUUUGAGAGGAUGAUCAGCCACAUUGGAACUGAGACACGGUCCAGACUUUUACGGAAGGCAGCAGUGGGGAAUUUUCCGCAAUGGGCGCAAGCCUGACGGAGCAAUACCGCGUGAAGGAUGAAUGCCUGUGGGUUGUAAACUUCUUUUAUUAGGGAAGAAAAAAAUGACGGUACCUAAUGAAUAAGCAUCGGCUAACUCCGUGCCAGCAGCCGCGGUAAUACGGGGGAUGCAAGCGUUAUCCGGAAUCAUUGGGCGUAAAGAGUCUGAAGGUUGUUUAGUAAGUCUGCUGUUAAAUGUUAGAGCUUAACUCUAAAAAAGCAGUGGAAACUACUAAACUAGAGUGUGGUAGAGGCAAAGGGAAUUCCCAGUGUAGCGGUGAAAUGCGUAGAUAUUGGGAAGAACACCAGAAGCGAAAGCGCUUUGCUGGGCCAUCACUGACACUAAGAGACGAAAGCUAGGGGAGCAAAGGGAUUAGAUACCCCAGUAGUC
rnacentral:rRNA from 1 species